rnacentral:rRNA from 1 species
UACGAAGGGUGCGAGCGUUGUUCGGAAUUAUUGGGCGUAAAGGGUUCGUAGGCGGGAGAGCAAGUCAUGUGUGAAAACUAUGGGCUAAACCUGUAGCGUGCAUAUGAAACUGUUUUUCUUGAGAGGCGGAGAGGGCGAUGGAAUUGCUGGUGUAGGAGUGACAUCCGUAGAGAUCAGCAGGAACACCGGAGGCGAAGGCGCUUGCCUGGCCGUCGACUGACGCUGAGGAACGAAAGCGUGGGGAGCAAACAGG